AAGCCGAAGUAAAACCAGACUAGCUUCUAACUAGUUAAUUAAGCGGCCCCCCCGUUUGUACUUCU
rnacentral:tRNA from 1 species